rnacentral:rRNA from 1 species
GAUGAACGCUGGCGGCGUGCCUAAUACAUGCAAGUCGAGCGAACAGACGAGGAGCUUGCUCCUCUGACGUUAGCGGCGGACGGGUGAGUAACACGUGGAUAACCUACCUAUAAGACUGGGAUAACUUCGGGAAACCGGAGCUAAUACCGGAUAAUAUAUUGAACCGCAUGGUUCAAUAGUGAAAGACGGUUUUGCUGUCACUUAUAGAUGGAUGCGCGCCGCAUUAGCUAGUUGGUAAGGUAACGGCUUACCAAGGCGACGAUGCGUAGCCGACCUGAGAGGGUGAUCGGCCACACUGGAACUGAGACACGGUCCAGACUCCUACGGGAGGCAGCAGUAGGGAAUCUUCCGCAAUGGGCGAAAGCCUGACGGAGCAACGCCGCGUGAGUGAUGAAGGUCUUCGGAUCGUAAAACUCUGUUAUUAGGGAAGAACAAAUGUGUAAGUAACUAUGCACGUCUUGACGGUACCUAAUCAGAAAGCCACGGCUAACUACGUG